UACGUAGGCAGCAAGCGUUGUUCGGAAUUACUGGGCGUAAAGAGUGUGUAGGCGGUGUUCUAAGUCUGGUGUGAAAUCUCCCGGCUCAACUGGGAGGGUGCGCUAGAAACUGGAAUGCUAGAGGAUGGGAGAGGUAAGCGGAAUUCCUGGUGUAGCGGUGAAAUGCGUAGAGAUCGGGAGGAACACCCGUGGCGAAGGCGGCCAUCUGGACCAGCACUGACGCUGAGGCACGAAAGCGUGGGGAGCAAACAGG
rnacentral:rRNA from 1 species